CAAACUUUUUGGGAAUCGCUAUGUACAUAUUAAAUGGCACAAACCAUUCAAAGAUAAUGAUUUAAUAAUUUUCUCGAGUAUUUUUAAAACAUGACGAAGUGGUUAGCUAGCAAAGGUUCUUGGUUUGGCUUGAGGGCCUGAAACAUAUUUUGCUUGCUACAAGGUCAUCAUCGUUCAUUUACACCGCUGAAUUUCAAAACUCUACCAUUAUGCGCUACAAUUUCUGGGAGUAUAUGUUUACUAUUUUAUCAAACCUGCUUUCGCGCAAUUACUUACACACAAGCAUCUUUGAAAAAUGAUAAAAAUGGAAUUAGUUAGCAGUAACAAAAUAAUGCAUAUAUUGUGGGAAAUAAAAUGUUUAAAUAUUUACAAGUAAGUCAUUCAAAAUGCAAGGCAUGCAAAUUCAC